CCUGCGCUCUGCUCUUCGCGACUUUCCAGCAGAAAUGCGGCGAACGUGGCUAAUCAUUUUCGUGGUGUUAAAUGUGUACACAGCGGCGAACGGGACCAGCAACGACAUUGUUGGCACGAUGCGCUGCCGGCUUCUGUGCGAAGAGGCCGGCGGUUAUGGCGCUCAGCUCGACACCCAGGCGUUCUGCAGGUGCAGCAUUUUGAAGAAGCUGAGCGACAAGCAACAGUUAAGAGUCCAGGAGCUGAGCACUUACUAUAAUUUACCGGUAGUGUUCAAACGGGAGCACAGUCAUUACAAAGUCAAGCGACAGUUAGAUGAGAACUUGUUAGAAGAUUGGCGUGCGAAGAUGGACGAUCACUGGGCCGAAACAGCAGAAAACUUAAAGGCGUGGAGAGAGCAGCAGGCGAGAGAAAAUCCCCUUUGGGCAAUAUGGAGGAACAAGCGGAGAACUUGAAAGCAUGGCAUGAGCAACAAGCGAGAGAGAAUCCGUUAAUGACCGGUCUUGAAGAGCAGGCGGAAAAUUUGAAGCAGUGGCAUAAACAACACAUCGAAGAAAAUCCUCUGAUUAGUGAUUUGGAGGAGCAUGCUGCUAAUCUUCAGGCGUGGCACAAUGACAACGUAGAAAUGAUCCAGGAGGGUCUCCAAGAACAGAAAGAUAAAAUCGAAGAACACAUUGGUAAUCUGAAAGAAUUAGGAGAUGCUAAGGUUGGAAGCAUUGGACCACAGCUUGAAGAGCAAGCAAAACAGCUUAAAAACUUCCAUGAAGAACAUAUAGAACCUCUUUUGGGUGCUCCUUUACCUUCGUUUGA